rnacentral:tRNA from 1 species
AGAAAGGUGACUGAGAGGCUUAAGGUGCUCCGUUGCUACCGGAGUGCAGGUGAAAGCCUGCCAAGGGUUCGAAUCCCUUCCUUUCUGCCA